GGGGAGCAGAGCCUGGGAGGCCGGAGCCUGGGCAAGUCCGCCUGGAGGACCCUGCGGGGCCCGGGACGCUGAACCCCCUGCUGCCCCUGCAGGAAGCCCCACAAGAAGCUGGGCCCGCAGGCCUGGCUGGUGGCGGCCAUCACGGCCACGGAGCUGCUCAUCGUGGUGAAGUACGACCCCCACACGCUCACCCUGUCCCUGCCCUUCUACAUCUCCCAGUGCUGGACCCUCGGCUCCGUCCUGGCGCUCACCUGGACCGUCUGGCGCUUCUUCCUGCGGGACAUCACAUUGAGGUACAAGGAGACCCGGUGGCAGAAGUGGCAGAACAAGGAUGACCAGGGCAGCACCGUCGGCAACGGGGACCAGCACCCACUGGGGCUGGACGAAGACCUGCUGGGGCCUGGGGUGGCCGAGGGCGAGGGAGCACCAACUCCAAACUGACCUGGGCCGUGGCUGCCUCGUGAGCCUCCCAGAGCCCAGGCCUCCGUGGCCUCCUCCUGUGUGAGUCCCACCAGGAGCCACGUGCCCGGCCUUGCCCUCAAGGUUUUUUGCUUUUCUCCUGUGCACCUGGCGAGGCUG
rnacentral:lncRNA from 10 species